rnacentral:pre_miRNA from 1 species
GACAUUCAGUGCUGUCGGUGGGUGUUGCGCGUGCCUGCCUCGAACACAUAACCCAGGGAGCACUGAAUGCACA